UCUCUGUAAGUUUGGAUUUGAGUAGAGUAUCAAAUACUCUUUCUGUUCCAUCUGUCCGCAACAAUGGUGGUGACGUGCUGCCAUAUUCAAAGCUCAAUUUCUUUCUUCUAUGGUGGUGCAUUGGAGCAAAUAUCUUUCUAUCAACUUCACCUCUGUCAGAAAGGUGGCAAGGCUGUCGAUAGCACAGGUGUUGACUGUGAUAUCGAAGAGGCAGAAGUCAGCACUAAGGGAAGCAUACAAGAAUAAGAAGUACCUGCCUCUCGACCUUCUUCCCAAGAAGACCAGAGCCAUCCGGAGACUUCUUACAAAGCAUCAAGCAAUUGAAUCCUGAUCCUGAUUCUUAUGGAUACGUUGAUAAUCUUUUAAUAAUUGAAAGAGCUACAUAAUGAUCUGCUUUCUUUGGAUUAGUAUCAACAACCUUCUGCGCAAGAAUCAAUUCGUAAAGAUCUUAAUGAAAAUGAAUUGAAGUUUCUCGAUAAAAUUUGUGGUGACAGAAUCUACAGAUUUUACCGAGUUAACAAACAAAGAACCAUGGCUCUAAUCAACAAAGUUGGCUGUAAAACCAGAAAUGUUGUUUGGGAAGAGUGGAAAAGAGUGGCUAGGUAGCUUUGAAUCUGGAUCUAGCAGGAGUUUUAUGGUUUGUAAAAGUACAAAUUAGCUUUUCAGAAUGUGGAGGCAUUGAGAUUAAAGAGAGCUAGGACAAGGUUAGUUGGUCCAAAACGUUUACUCUUUUCGCUUAUCUUAAAAUUAUUUGUUAGUUUUUUUGGCAAAACUGGUUACUCUACUCAUUCUGGUAAUAUCCAGGAAGUCAAGUUAUUUUCUUUUCUCCUGUAAUAACAAGAUUUUCUUUUCUCCUGUUAUCUCUUUACUCUGUCAUAACUUUCAUUAUGAAAUAGGAACAUUUAAUAUAAUUCAUU